rnacentral:rRNA from 1 species
AGAGUUUGAUCAUGGCUCAGAUUGAACGCUGGCGGCAUGCCUUACACAUGCAAGUCGAACGGCAGCACGGGAGCUUGCUCCUGGUGGCGAGUGGCGAACGGGUGAGUAAUGCAUCGGAACGUACCCAGGAGUGGGGGAUAACGUAGCGAAAGUUACGCUAAUACCGCAUAUUCUGUGAGCAGGAAAGCGGGGGAUCGCAAGACCUCGCGCUCUUGGAGCGGCCGAUGUCGGAUUAGCUGGUUGGUGGGGUAAAAGCUCACCAAGGCGACGAUCCGUAGCAGGUCUGAGAGGAUGAUCUGCCACACUGGGACUGAGACACGGCCCAGACUCCUACGGGAGGCAGCAGUGGGGAAUUUUGGACAAUGGGGGCAACCCUGAUCCAGCCAUGCCGCGUGAGUGAAGAAGGCC